rnacentral:rRNA from 1 species
CCCCCAGACUCCUACGGGAGGCAGCAGUGGGGAAUAUUGCACAAUGGGGGAAACCCUGAUGCAGCGACGCCGCGUGAGCGAUGAAGUAUUUCGGUAUGUAAAGCUCUAUCAGCAGGGAAGAAAAUGACGGUACCUGACUAAGAAGCCCCGGCUAACUACGUGCCAGCAGCCGCGGUAAUACGUAGGGGGCAAGCGUUAUCCGGAUUUACUGGGUGUAAAGGGAGCGUAGACGGUCCUGCAAGCCAGAUGUGAAAGCCCGGGGCUCAACCCCGGGACUGCAUUUGGAACUGUAAGGCUAGAGUGUCGGAGAGGCAGGCGGAAUUCCUAGUGUAGCGGUCAAAUGCGUAGAUAUUAGGAGGAACACCAGCGGCGAAGGCGGCCUGCUGGACCGUAACUGACGUUGAGGCUCGAAAGCGUGGGGAGCAAACAGGAUUAGAUACCCUGGUAC